AGCAGCCGCGGUAAUUCCAGCUCCAAUAGCGUAUAUUAAAGUUGUUGCAGUUAAAAGCUCGUAGUUGAAUUUCGGGAUCAAAUUGUCGGUCGUGCCUCGGUACGUACUGGUAUUAUUGGUUCCUCCCUUCUGACGAACCACGAUGUCAUUAAUUUGGUGUCAUGGGAAAUCAGGACUGUUACUUUGAAAAAAUUAGAGUGUUUAAAGCAGGCUCGCGCUUGAAUACAUUAGCAUGGAAUAAUGAAAUAGGACGUUUGAUUCUAUUUUGUUGGUUUCUAGGAUCGACGUAAUGAUUAAUAGGGAUAGUUGGGGGGCAUUAGUAUUCAAUUGUCAGAGGUGAAAUUCUUGGAUUUAUUGAAGACUAACUACUGCGAAAGCAUUUUGCCAAGGAUGUUUUCAUUAAUCAAGAACGAAAGUUAGGGGAUCGAAGACGAUCAGAUACCGUCAUAGUCUUAACCAUAAACUAUGCCGACUAGGGAUCGGAUGAUGUUAAUUUUUUAAUGACUCAUUCGGCGCCUUA
rnacentral:rRNA from 1 species